rnacentral:rRNA from 1 species
UAGGGAAUCUUCCACAAUGGACGAAAGUCUGAUGGAGCAACGCCGCGUGAGUGAUGAAGGGUUUCGGCUCGUAAAACUCCGUUGUUGGAGAAGAACGGGUGUCAGAGUAACUGUUGACAUCGUGACGGUAUCCAACCAGAAAGCCACGGCUAACUACGUGCCAGCAGCCGCGGUAAUACGUAGGUGGCAAGCGUUGUCCGGAUUUAUUGGGCGUAAAGCGAGCGCAGGCGGUUUUUUAGGUCUGAUGUGAAAGCCUUCGGCUUAACCGGAGAAGUGCAUCGGAAACCGGGAGACUUGAGUGCAGAAGAGGACAGUGGAACUCCAUGUGUAGCGGUGAAAUGCGUAGAUAUAUGGAAGAACACCAGUGGCGAAGGCGGCUGUCUGGUCCGCAACUGACGCUGAGGCUCGAAAGCAUGGGUAGCGAACAGGAUUAGAUACCCUGGUAGUCCAUGCCGUAAACGAUGAGUGCUAAGUGUUGGGAGGCUUCCGCCUCUCAGUGCUGCAGCUAACGCAUUAAGCACUCCGCCUGGGGGAGUACGACCGCAAGGUUGAAAC